UAGAAAUCCUUACCAAUAUAGUCUCCCCACUAUUCUCAUGGAGAAUUGGGUUUAUGGGUAGUUAGAAUUAGAAUGAAAGAUUGAACUUUGAUGAGAUUACCCCCUUAGAUUAAAUCUCUCAAAUUGUAUAGAUUUGAUGUAUCUUGUUUAUGAAUCUUGGUGACUUCCCUUGCCCUUGUUGUGCCACUAAUUGAUGGCCUAAUUUGUCACUAAAAUUCAUCUAAGUUAAGGUUAGGAUUGUACACGAAAAAUUGCACAAAACUGAGUUUGGCAGGAAAUAGAGCACCAGGGCAAUUCUGCCCUUUGCGCCUGGGGCACAGCCUCUGCG
rnacentral:lncRNA from 1 species